AAGCGACUGAAUCAAAUGACUGCAUGCAAAACCCCGAAAUUGUAUUCCAUACCUUAAGUGGGUCUCUAUUAAGUCAUCAAAUCAUUCAAAAUCUCUGAAUACUCCAAAUAAACAUUGCAAGAUCUGUAGUUUCCACAUAAGUGAGGGUUUUGGAUUUGUCAAAGUUACAAAAGUUAACAACCUGAUUAUAAAGUAAGCCUGCCAACUGCCAUCUACCUCUGUGAUUCAAACAAAUAUUAUAUUAAGUAAAUAAAAACAUAAUCCUGAGACACAAUGACAAAUUUUACUAUUUAUAAAGUAAAACCUAUUGUUAAUAUUUUGCAAAUAUGUAUUGAUGGGUAGAUUACAAACAAUAAGAUUGGUAAAGAAAGA